rnacentral:rRNA from 1 species
UUCUCAAACUAGGACCGAGUCUAACUUGCGACCGCCGUACGGAAUGUGUACGUUCAGCUUGCCGUCGCCUGGAAGCCCACGGCCGCUCACCGCUUGCCCACUCAUUUCAUAGCCUUGCAUGGAAAGUCACCCCCUAUUGCAUCGCUUUCAAUGCGAUUAUGGCGUAUAAGACACUCGUCCUUUCGUCCCCUAGCGUUCUGGAACGCGACUAACUCGCCGGCUAUAGUCUAAUCGAUCAACCACUCCAUUUCCGAGUGGUUCCGCUGCUAGACAUCGCCCAGACUCUCCUACUAGGCGGUGUGACCUUGACUCUGUGCCAGGUCUGAGGAUGCCCUCCGUCGUCACCCCUUAAAACCUGUUACCCCCGUUGGGACUAGGUCGGUACGGCGCACUCACUUCUUCCGGAAGCCCAACAUUUCGAGAAAGCCGGCCCUUCUUUAGCGCGUCCGAUUAUGGGACACACCUACUGCCAUGGCCUUAUUCUUCGUGGCCGAUUGAUGCACGGUCGUCGGCGCCAUUAUGCAUCCCACGCUCGCAAUUAGCCUUAAUGACCCGCAUUUCGCACGCGUCCGCCAAACCAUUCUGUCCGCACUUUAGGGGCCCGAGUUGGACCCUUGACGCGAACACUGACGGAGUGAUCUCAUGCCGUCUCCCCCCACCUUAAGGUGCACAUCGUCACUUUACGCAUCUCUACACCUCCUUGUGGCUACCGCUUCCGUCGGGGGACCCGGCUAUGACUGCGAGUACGUGCUUUCGCACCCAUCGUUUGUCCUAAUCUAUGGGACCAUCAGGUGCGGGAUUUGAUACCUAUGAGCUGUAUACGCUAUUUGACAUUCACAGACUCGCUUUCGUAAUUCAUAGGGUGGACCCUUCAUGCUAGCGUUCUAACUUUGAGUUUCCUUAACCGCCCCCAGGCGUGUUCGCCACCUCGUACACCAAAUUAAGCUACUAUGCGCUCCUUGGAAUGGACCCGAUCUUACGACCCUCUGACACUCACUUUCGAGUAAAACAUCGUUAUGUGACGGUCAUUCCACGACGUACCGACAGCAGUCGAGCACGGCACUCCACAACCCAAUUCAGGGCGUUGCUCGCGUUGGGGGUAGUGAUCAACGGUAGUCCAUUGCGACCCUUGAGAUCACUUUGACGGCAGCAUUCUGCACUCCUUCCUCCCCUACUACAGUUCAGUAGUACCGGAAAUACGGGUCCCGAUGUGUGCACGAUGUUACCCCGCAUGUUUCCCGACGUUGUAUCGCUAUACUUCGAUUAGGGUUUUUUGCGGAGAGUCAAGUCUAACCUCAGACGUUGAGCUGAGGUACUUCGACCUUAGCGAUCAUUAGCGCCCAGUCGUACGGCGCCACUUAUACAAGGGCCCGGAACAUGUGUGGCGGGCAGUGUGGUACCCUCAACUAAUAUGGGCUGCAGCGACCCGAUUGAAAAUCUCCGUCCGCGGAUUCCAUACCAGCUAUUGACCCCACUUCAGCAUUGUUCCAUUGGCAU